AUACAUCCGCACCUAGCUCCAGAAAUAUCUUAAGACUGCUGGUAGUUUCCUGCUGCCCAGCAGGCUAGUGAAGGACCCUGGGCUUCAAGGUAAUCGUCAAGGAUUUAGAAAGGCUACUGAAAGAUUUUAGUGAUCUGCAGAAUAGGAAUUGAAUCUGCAAAAAGCGAGCAAUGAAAUAAUUUACUUAACUGCAGAGAGGGAGGGAGCGUGUCUGUCUGAGAGAGAUCUCUCCCCCUUUCAGUUAUGCUGGAUGUCACCUCCUUGGUGUAGUAUGCAAACGGAGCACCUCUUUUAGGUGCCUUCCAAUAACUGAAUAUUUUCUUGUUCAAGAAGAAAACUCGAGAUCGGAGGGAUCUGUCCGGUUGCACUGAAGCCAGACUCAUCAGUCAUCAAUCAAGACAGCUGUACAUUUCUCCCAGAUGUAAACGGGUGAAUAAACUAAAGUACUACGAUGCGUCUGCCUUAGCACUUUUCCUAUGCCAUCAUUGUGCUUUUUUCAUCAGGAAAAUCUGCCUAUAGCUAAAUCGUUCUAAAUAGGGCAAGUCAUUCAAAAUUAAUAUUUAUGUUUUAUUGAAAUAAU